CUUCCAGUAGCACCUUAGAGACCAACUAAGUUUGUUAUUGGUAUGAGCUUUCGUGUGCAUGCACACCUCUUCAGAUACACUUCGCAUGCACACGAAAGCUCAUACCAAUAACAAACUUAGUUGGUCUCUAAGGUGCUACUGGAAG